rnacentral:rRNA from 1 species
UUGGAGGGCAAGUCUGGUGCCAGCAGCCGCGGUAAUUCCAGCUCCAAUAGCGUAUAUUAAAGUUGUUGCAGUUAAAAAGCUCGUAGUUGAACUUCGGGGUUUACUCAUUGGUCAGGCUUAGGUGUCUGCACUGGUGAGAUGGAUCUCUACCUUCUGAGGAACUUUCAUGCCAUUUGUUUGGUGUGAUGGGAAAUCAGGGCUGUUACUUUGAAAAAAUUAGAGUGUUUAAAGCAGACUAUCGUCUGAAUACAUUAGCAUGGAAUAAUGAAAUAGGACGGACUGAUUCUAUUUCGUUGGUUUCUAGGAUCACCGUAAUGAUUAAUAGGGAUAGUUGGGGGCAUUAGUAUUCAAUUGUCAGAGGUGAAAUUCUUGGAUUUAUUGAAGACUAACUACUGCGAAAGCAUUUGCCAAGGAUGUUUUCAUUAAUCAAGAACGAAAGUUAGGGGAUCGAAGACGAUCAGAUACCGUCGUAGUCUUAACCAUAAACUAUGCCGACUAGGGAUCGGACGAUGUUAAUUUUUUAAUGACUCGUUCGGCGCCUUACGGGAAAC